AUUGAAAUACUACUGGAAUUUCCCAGCAAUCCAAUUUAAGCAACAACAGUCUUACAUUGUAACUCUUUUCCGCCUAAAAUUUCCAUCUCUCUCGUCCAUCAAAAAAUCUGAAUGUGAGAUGUUGUAUGAGUGAGAUUGAUGACGUCAACUCGGUUUGGAGAAUGAGAAAAUAUCGACACGAACGCUAUCUUCAUUUACAGAUCUUUAUUUAUUACUGUGAUGUGGGUGCGAUAAUUCAAGAAUCUCAGCCGUACCUGACUGGUGCUCCAAUAAUUACUGCCGCGCACUUGAGCACCAACAUAUUAAGUCUUAGUCUUUAAGAGAAAGUACGUAAAGGACAAUUUUCUGAAAGGUAUUCAUUCAGUAACCUAAGUUAGAACAAGAUGGAACAAGAAUUGUAUAUAUCAACAUUACAAUUGACUCCAACAUUCAUUAGCCUCGUCAGUCAAAUCGUGUUCCAUCCCAACUCAUGUCGGAUUUACACAUAUACCUGCUAAAUGCCUUGCGCAUGGAAAGAUCAUGUGAUCUUCCAACAAAAUGUAAGUACGCCAGAGUCCCGUAUUUGCGUGGCACUUGACUUAAAACAAAGAAGUUGUAAACCGUAAUAUUGGCGCACACCUCCGGUACGUAUAAGUACACGGAUUAUCACACCACGAAUGUGAAGAUUUUCUUUGUUUUUGCUCAUGAAUAAUGAUGAGUUUGAGAAAGAAUUAUACAUCCCAUUUGGUUUGCUCAUAGCUUAUCGAAGGGAGGAUCGCUAUGAAACUCAAUAGCAAUGUCUUAGGAAAGUUACCUAUCCGUGACUCGAACAACAGGGUAAAUUGGAAAUUGCUAUUGGCGGAUUUGGCAAAAAUACAAUACACACGUGACGGUGAAGGACCAGAUUUACGAAUAAACGUUGAGUAACAUAUAGAUAAUGAAUUAUAUUGUUAUUCUGAUGAGUUUCACAGCCAUCUUCCCUGCGAUAGGCUAUGGUUUGCUGUUCGUAUAAAUAGACGCUUGAUGAAUUUGCACACGCUUGAAAUCGAGGCGGAUGAUGCAAUCAAUGUAAAUAGUGUAGUUUCUAUUAAUGCCUGCCAGCAAAUUCAGAAAGCGUCUAUUAAUAAUACGCAGUUUAAAAAAGCGGGAUGUGCUAAAGUCAGUAUAUGUGCUUACUAUCAAAACAAUAUAAUAUAAUUAAGCCAGGAAAUAAUAUGCAAACGUUUUAUAUAGCACUAUGAAUUUAAUAUUUCAUGUCGUAAUAGACUUCACUGUUUAUUGCAUUUUUCCCCAAAUAGCCUCGUUUCCAUAGGCGCACAUGAAGGUUAUAUCUCCAUAAUUCAUGCACGCACAAGUUUCUCUUUUCUUAUUCUAUCUCUUGGCCCAAUCACAAGCUUAUCCUCAACCCUAUUAUCACGAGGAAAUAAGUGCAAUAAACAGUGCAGCAAUUAAUAUUCAUGUCGACUGUAUUUUUGUAAUAUACAAAUUUAUAUCCAGAAUUGAACUGAAAUUAAUUUUAUAUUUCUAAAAUCUUGUACACUAUAAUACUGCACUACGUUGCACGAUGCAUAUAUUAGAUUUAUGUAAUGAAGCAAAUAUUAGACUAUAUUAAAGUAUAAACAGACAAAAUCAUUGGUCUAUUUUCAUGUAAAAUUUCAAUAAUUGGAACGAGUAUUUGAAAAUUUCAAUAGACAACUUGCAUGUUAGACUAAUUUUUGAUAUAGGCAAUUGUAAAAUUUGUUUACGAAAUGUUGUAAAAUACGGAAAAUAUAGCCUUGCGAAGUUUGCAUAUUUUGUAUAGGGUGGGUGGGGGGGGGGGGGAAUACCAAAAAAAUUCGCGCACAGAAAAAAUCCAAAAAAAAAUACCUAUUGAAAAAAAAAUCGAGCAAGAACUAGGGCUGAUUUUUAAAAUCGUACGAACUUUUCGGGAAAAUUUUUUAGGUCGUCUAUAAAAAAAUAUCGUGCAAAGGAAUGUUGCCGAAAAAAAUUCUUGCAAGCAAUUGGGGGAUGAAAAAAAAUUCGUGCGCAGAAAAAUUGCCCCCUCCCAAAUAUCUAAUGGUCCGUCCCUUAUAUCAUUUCGCAACCAAAUUUUGCAAUUUUACUAAUUUCAUUAUGUUCUUUUUAGCUGUGGUGUUUCAUUGCCUUCUCUUUACUUAGAUUAAAAAUUAGUCUAACAUGCAAGUUGUCCAUUAGUUUAAAAUACAAAUAUCAUAAUGCAAAUAAUGCAAAUAUCAAUGUUUGGAAGAGGCGUUUAUUAGAUGGCGAGUGUUACUUGGAAUGUAUACGGUAAUUAUUCUAAUUUUAUAAUUGCAGUAAUAGUUGAUAAGUAGGGAUAUAUGGGAGUAUGGUGAGUAACUGAAAAAUUUUCAAAAUUUGCUUUGCACAUAGUUGUCCCCCCUUAUACACAGUUACUCCCAUUUAACAAUCGAUAUCCUGGUGUCUGGGAUUCAUCAAUCACAUUCAAUAUCCGCGAUCCGCAAUUAAAUUAUUUAAUAUUUAUUUAUGUUUAUUGUUUUUAAAAAUAAUAAAAUAUGGCAUAUUAUACUUCCAUCUUGCAUACACUUUCUGUUCUUGUGUGCUGUGUUUCUCUCGCAUUCGAAGAAGAUGCAUUUUUGCCCGAUCAAGGGAAAUUUGAUUUCAGCUUUGUCGCUGACAGUCAAUUAAACAAUGUAAGUAUUUGUUUUGUAUAUAAAAUACAACAGGUAUUAAACACUUCCUUGUUU